rnacentral:rRNA from 1 species
UAUCAGAAGUGCGAAUGCUGACAUAAGUAACGAUAAAGCGGGUGAAAAGCCCGCUCGCCGGAAGACCAAGGGUUCCUGUCCAACGUUAAUCGGGGCAGGGUGAGUCGACCCCUAAGGCGAGGCCGAAAGGCGUAGUCGAUGGGAAACGGGUUAAUAUUCCCGUACUUGGUGUUACUGCGAAGGGGGGACGGAGAAGGCUAUGUUGGCCGGGCGACGGUUGUCCCGGUUUAAGCGUGUAGGUGUGUGUUCCAGGUAAAUCCGGUUCACUUUAACACUGAGGCGUGACGACGAGGCACUACGGUGCUGAAGCAACAAAUGCCCUGCUUCCAGGAAAAGCCUCUAAGCAUCAGGUAACAUCAAAUCGUACCCCAAACCGACACAGGUGGUCAGGUAGAGAAUACCAAGGCGCUUGAGAGAACUCGGGUGAAGGAACUAGGCAAAAUGGUGCCGUAACUUCGGGAGAAGGCACGCUGACACGUAGGUGAAGUGAUUUACUCAUGGAGCUGAAGUCAGUCGAAGAUACCAGCUGGCUGCAACUGUUUAUUAAAAACACAGCACUGUGCAAACACGAAAGUGGACGUAUACGGUGUGACGCCUGCCCGGUGCCGGAAGGUUAAUUGAUGGGGUCAGCGCAAGCGAAGCUCCUGAUCGAAGCCCCGGUAAACGGCGGCCGUAACUAUAACGGUCCUAAGGUAGCGAAAUUCCUUGUCGGGUAAGUUCCGACCUGCACGAAUGGCGUAAUGAUGGCCAGGCUGUCUCCACCCGAGACUCAGUGAAAUUGAACUCGCUGUGAAGAUGCAGUGUACCCGCGGCAAGACGGAAAGACCCCGUGAACCUUUACUAUAGCUUGACACUGAACAUUGAGCCUUGAUGUGUAG